CGAGCGCAAGCUUAAAACUCAAAGAAAUAGGCGGGAACUCGCACUAGCAGUGGAUCAUGUGGUUCAAUUCGACUCUAACCGAGAAACCUCACCAGGGCUUGAAAUCCAGCUGCACGCUUCAGAAAUGAAGAAGCCUUCGAGGGUGCUGGACAGGUGGUGCACGGCUGUCGUCAGCUCGUCACGUGAGUGGUCUCCUUAAGUGGAUUAACGAGCGCAACCCCUACGGUGUGUUACAAGUGUCACGCCGGACUGCUCCGGUAACGGAGAGGAAGGUGGGGAUGACGUCAAGUCAGCGUGCCCCUUUGAUGCCCUGGGCUACACACAUGAUACAAUGGACGUUACAACGGGUUGCCAAGCCGCGAGGCGGAGCUAAUCCUAUCAAAGGCGUCCUCAGUUCGGAUUGGAGGCUGCAACUUGCCUCCAUGAAGUUGGAAUUGCUAGUAAUCGCGGAUCAGCACGCCGCGGUGAAUACGUUCUCGAGUUUUGCACUCACUGCCCGUCAACUCAAGGGAGCCGGGAAUACCUGAAGACCCAUAUUCACACGGGGGACACGGUAGGUUCGGUAACAGGGAGUAAGUCGUAACAAGGU
rnacentral:rRNA from 1 species